UAGAGUUUGAUCCUGGCUCAGAUUGAACGCUGGCGGCAUGCUUUACACAUGCAAGUCGAACGGCAGCGCGGGCUUCGGCCUGGCGGCGAGUGGCGAACGGGUGAGUAAUAUAUCGGAACGUACCCAAGAGUGGGGGAUAACGUAGCGAAAGUUACGCUAAUACCGCAUACGAUCUAAGGAUGAAAGCAGGGGACCGCAAGGCCUUGUGCUCCUGGAGCGGCCGAUAUCUGAUUAGCUAGUUGGUGAGGUAAAGGCUCACCAAGGCAACGAUCAGUAGCUGGUCUGAGAGGACGACCAGCCACACUGGAACUGAGACACGGUCCAGACUCCUACGGGAGGCAGCAGUGGGGAAUUUUGGACAAUGGGGGCAACCCUGAUCCAGCAAUGCCGCGUGAGUGAAGAAGGCCUUCGGGUUGUAAAGCUCUUUUGUCAGGGAAGAAAAGGGAGUGGCUAAUAUCCAUUCCUGCUGACGGUACCUGAAGAAUAAGCACCGGCUAACUACGUGCCAGCAGCCGCGGUAAUACGUAGGGUGCAAGCGUUAAUCGGAAUUACUGGGCGUAAAGCGUGCGCAGGCGGUUUCGUAAGUCUGUCGUGAAAUCCCCGGGCUUAACCUGGGAAUGGCGAUGGAGACUGCGAGGCUAGAGUUUGGCAGAGGGGGGUAGAAUUCCACGUGUAGCAGUGAAAUGCGUAGAGAUGUGGAGGAACACCGAUGGCGAAGGCAGCCCCCUGGGUCAAAACUGACGCUCAUGCACGAAAGCGUGGGGAGCAAAC
rnacentral:rRNA from 1 species